GAUGAACGCUGGCGGCGUGCCUAAUACAUGCGAGUCGAGCGAACGGACGAGAAGCUUGCUUCUCUGAUGUUAGCGGCGGACGGGUGAGUAACACGUGGAUAACCUACCUAUAAGACUGGGAUAACUUCGGGAAACCGGAGCUAAUACCGGAUGAUAUUUUGAACCGCAUGGUUCAAAAGUGAAAGACGGUCUUGCUGUCACUUAUAGAUGGAUCCGCGCUGCAUUAGCUAGUUGGUAAGGUAACGGCUUAUCAAGGCAACGAUGCAUAGCCGACCUGAGAGGGUGAUCGGCCACACUGGAACUGAGACACGGUCCAGACUCCUACGGGAGGCAGCAGUAGGGAAUCUUCCGCAAUGGGCGAAAGCCUGACGGAGCAACGCCGCGUGAGUGAUGAAGGUCUUCGGAUCGUAAAACUCUGUUAUUAGGGAAGAACAUAUGUGUAAGUAACUGUGCACAUCUUGACGGUACCUAAUCAGAAAGCCACGGCUAACUACGUG
rnacentral:rRNA from 1 species